rnacentral:rRNA from 1 species
AACGUAGGAGACAAACGUUAUCCGGAGUUACUGGGCGUAAAGGGCGUGCAGGUGGUCGGUUAAGUCUGGCGUGAAAGCUCCUGGCUAAACCGGGAGAGGUCGUUGGAUACUGGCGGACUAGAGGACGGUAGAGGCGUGUGGAAUUCCGGGUGUAGUGGUGAAAUGCGUAGAGAUCCGGAGGAACACCAGUGGCGAAGGCGACACGCUGGGCCGUACCUGACACUGAUACGCGACAGCAUGGGGAGCGAACGGG